rnacentral:rRNA from 2 species
CAAGGCGACGAUCCCUAGCUGGUCUGAGAGGAUGACCAGCCACACUGGAACUGAGACACGGUCCAGACUCCUACGGGAGGCAGCAGUGGGGAAUAUUGCACAAUGGGCGCAAGCCUGAUGCAGCCAUGCCGCGUGUAUGAAGAAGGCCUUCGGGUUGUAAAGUACUUUCAGCGGGGAGGAAGGUGUUGUGGUUAAUAACCGCAGCAAUUGACGUUACCCGCAGAAGAAGCACCGGCUAACUCCGUGCCAGCAGCCGCGGUAAUACGGAGGGUGCAAGCGUUAAUCGGAAUUACUGGGCGUAAAGCGCACGCAGGCGGUCUGUCAAGUCGGAUGUGAAAUCCCCGGG